AUUGAACGCUGGCGGUAGGCCUAAUACAUGCAAGUCGAGCGGAUGAAGGGAGCUUGCUCCUGGAUUCAGCGGCGGACGGGUGAGUAAUGCCUAGGAAUCUGCCUGGUAGUGGGGGAUAACGUCCGGAAACGGGCGCUAAUACCGCAUACGUCCUGAGGGAGAAAGUGGGGGAUCUUCGGACCUCACGCUAUCAGAUGAGCCUAGGUCGGAUUAGCUAGUUGGUGGGGUAAAGGCCUACCAAGGCGACGAUCCGUAACUGGUCUGAGAGGAUGAUCAGUCACACUGGAACUGAGACACGGUCCAGACUCCUACGGGAGGCAGCAGUGGGGAAUAUUGGACAAUGGGCGAAAGCCUGAUCCAGCCAUGCCGCGUGUGUGAAGAAGGUCUUCGGAUUGUAAAGCACUUUAAGUUGGGAGGAAGGGCAGUAAGUUAAUACCUUGCUGUUUUGACGUUACCAACAGAAUAAGCACCGGCUAACUUCGUG
rnacentral:rRNA from 1 species